rnacentral:rRNA from 1 species
UACGAAGGGGGCUAGCGUUGUUCGGAAUUACUGGGCGUAAAGCGCGCGCAGGCGGUCCUUCAAGUCAGAGGUGAAAGCCCAGAGCUCAACUCUGGAAUGGCCUUUGAGACUAGAGGACUUGGGUACGGGAGAGGUGAGUGGAAUUCCGAGUGUAGAGGUGAAAUUCGUAGAUAUUCGCAAGAACACCAGUGGCGAAGGCGGCUCACUGGACCAUAACUGACGCUGAUGCACGAAAGCUAGGGGAGCAAACAGG